GAACCAUGAGAUGAUGACCUGAGCUAAAACCAAGAGUCAGACGCUUAACUGGCUGAGCCACUCAGGUGCCCCCAAACCCACCAUUUUUUUAUAUUUGCCUUUUGUUUUUGUUUUUAUGAAGGAACGGGCUGACUGAAGAUCCAUACUGUUAGAUUAAGUUACAAGGAGGCCAUUAGACUAAGACUUUAAUGCCUUCGUAACCCAUAUAAGCAAACUAAAUCCUAUGCCUGAAAUGCUUCGAGGUUAAAACAUCAAAACCUAAGGACAACCAAUCACAAACAGCCAAUGGGACUUUCCCCAAUAAGUCAGCCACCUAAGUUAUGGCCAAUCAAAUAAUUUCCUUGCGUUGCCCCUGCCUCUCUUCUAUAAAAGUCUUUCCCUUAGCUCUUACUAGUGGAGGGCUCCUAACCACUCCGACUGGGUACUGUCCAAUUUAAGUCAGUUUUGCUCAAAACAAUUAAAAAUUUUAACAUGACUCUGCUGACCUUUUAGCAGUUCUGGUGUCAGAAGAGGAAUCUGAAGGAGACCCCAGUGGUCCCCCAGGGGCAAAAGCAAAGAGCAGGCAUAGGUACCCACUUAGCCCAUGGCACUCACUAAUUUUUUCUACAUCUGGAAGUCCAGGUAAGUCCCGUUCAGGUAUCCCAGCUCCACAGCUUUUGCAUCAUGAACUGUCAGACUUUAUUUGAGCAUUUCUUUUACCAGACUGAGUCCAGAGGCAAACUGAGUCCAACUUAAAACUGACUGGGUCCAGUGGGAAGCCAAGUCUCAGUUUCUGGCAAUGCAGAUGGGAACACAAAGACACAUCAUUCACUCUGGAACCUGCACAUGGGAUCCUGGGAAAAUUAGCAGAAACCGUUGGAGAGUGAGAAUUCUUAAUCAAGUCAGCUUCCUGGAUCUCUAUCUGUAGGGCCCAGUCAAGAGAAGGAGGGACCAGAGUGAUAUCUUUGGGUGAAAUGCAAGCUUCAAGGAGAUCGUUUUUAUUUGGAAGAAAAGCUAUUUGGAGACUAAGUGAAUGAAAAAUCUUUAAGGGCUUCUCCACAAUUAUUAGCAAAAAGUCUAACCCAUCUAAGCAGAUGUAUCACUAUUGUAUUGCCAGAUGAUAUCACCAGACUUCAUUUGUAAAAGCUCUAAUUGGUCUAAAGAAAAACAGUUACCGUUUGACUUUGCAAAAGUUCUUUGUCUUCAGGGAGAUUCGUGGAGACAUCCUGACAAGUACUCUGGAAUACAGGUUUCUGGUGACUUGGAGAUUAUACCACUAAACAAUAGGGACACAAUAAGAAAUACUGGUUAUAUUACGAAGGCUUUGACUAGAAUGUCAUCUUUAAGAAUGGUGUGCAUAUAAUCAGAUGUGCCCAGACAGUUUUAAGGAACUAAGGUUGAUGGAACCAAUAAAGCCUCUUAGGAAAACCACCUGGUAUCUUGCUUACAGGGUUCCAAGCUUUUCCAGGAGACAGCCUGCGGACAUCCAAGUCUCUGAAAGAAGAGAGUUAAAUUGUUCUCACAGAAGGGAUAAAGCAUGGUUUCUUCUAAUCAGCGAAGGGACCGGACUCUGUGUGUAGGACACCAUGUAGCCACAGUCCCUGGAUUCAGCAGAGAAGCAUCCAUUCUUCUCCACCAUUGCAACUAAUUAUAUAUGAUGGUAGCUUAUAUCUAAAGAGCAUUUGCCAUGUGCCAAACACUGUACAAA